GGGUCGGUAGCUCAGUUUGGGAGAGCGCGUCGUUCGCAAUGACGAGGCCGCGGGUUCGAUCCCCGCCCGAUCCACCA
rnacentral:tRNA from 1 species